rnacentral:rRNA from 1 species
UUUAUCGGAGAGUUUGAUCCUGGCUCAGGACGAACGCUGGCGGCGUGCCUAAUACAUGCAAGUCGAGCGGACAGAAGGGAGCUUGCUCCCUGAUGUUAGCGGCGGACGGGUGAGUAACACGUGGGUAACCUGCCUGUAAGACUGGGAUAACUCCGGGAAACCGGGGCUAAUACCGGAUGCUUGUUUGAACCGCAUGGUUCAAA